CGCGUGCCAGACCUUCGUUAUUUUAUAAAACUUGAAAGUUAGUCUGCAUAUUGUCCCCAAGUCCCAACACAGGGAUGAAUGAUCAGCGACUAUGAAGUUUGAAUCAUGGUGGUUUUGGGAGAUAAAGGUAAUGAAGGUAAAAAAUCUUGCGUAUUUAG